UUCGUUGUAGCAAUACGAUGGAAAAUUUAGUGGCGAACGGGUGCUUAACACGUGGGCAACCUGCCAGGAAGUGGGGGAUAGCUCGCCGAAAGGCGAAUUAAUACCGCAUGUGAUUAGAGAGGACAUCCUUUCGAAAUUAAAGUCGGGGCAACCUGACGCUUCUUGUGGGGCCCGCGGCCUAUCAGCUAGUUGGUGAGGUAACGGCUCACCAAGGCGUUGACGGGUAGCUGGUCAGAGAGGACGACCAGCCACACUGGGACUGAGUCACGGCCCAGACACCUACGGGUGGCAGCAGUCGAGAAUUUUUGACAAUGGGGGAAACCCUGAUCGAGCGACGCCGCGUGGAGGAUGAAGGUCUUCGGAUUGUAAACUCCUGUCAUUGGGGAGCAAUGCACAGAUAUUAACUGUAUUUGUGUUGAUAGUACCCGAAGAGGAAGAGACGGCUAACUCUGUGCCAGCAGCCGCGGUAAUACAGAGGUCUCAAGCGUUGUUCGGAUUCAUUGGGCGUAAAGGGUGCGUAGGCGGCGCGGUAAGUCGGGUGUGAAAUCUCGGAGCUUAACUUCGAAACUGCAUUCGAUACUGCCGUGCUUGAGGACUGGAGAGGAGACUGGAAUUCUCGGUGUAGCA
rnacentral:rRNA from 1 species